UACGGGGGGGGCAAGCGUUGUUCGGAAUUACUGGGCGUAAAGGGCUCGUAGGCGGCCAACUAAGUCAAACGUGAAAUCCCUCGGCUUAACCGGGGAACUGCGUCUGAUACUGGAUGGCUUGAGUUUGGGAGAGGGAUGCGGAAUUCCAGGUGUAGCGGUGAAAUGCGCAGAUAUCAGGAGGAACACCGAUUGCGAAGGCAGCUCGCUGGGACGUCAACUGACGCUGAGACGCGAAACGUGGGGAGCAAACAGG
rnacentral:rRNA from 1 species